rfam:Oryza sativa Japonica Group DNA, chromosome 1, cultivar: Nipponbare, complete sequence.
ACCGGACGAGACACUUCAUAGUACAACGAAUCUGGACAGUAAGCCUGUCCAGAUUCGUUGUACUAUGAAGUGUCAUAUCCGGU